AUGAAGGCGGGGUCGGCACCGGGGGCGGACGGCUUGCUGGUGGCCUUCAUCCAGAAAUUCUGGAAUGUCCUAAAACCUGUGAUCAUGCCAAUGUUCCAUGAAUUUUAAAUUGGGACGUUCGAUAUGUCACGAAUAAACUCUGGUGUCAUUACCCUGAUCCCCAAGGUAGUAGGGGCUACGGACAUCCGACACUUUAGGCCUAUCACGAUUAUCAACGUACUUGAACGCUUCUUCUCCAAAGUCAGUAUGACCCGAGUAGCCCCUAUAGCGGAGCGGCUGUAUCAUCCCCUCCAAACAGCAUUUCUAAGGGCCAACGGAUUCACGACGGGAUCCUGCCCCUGCAUGAGAUUGACCAUGGGGUUAGAGCGCGUUGUCACAAGGGUGUCUUCCUCAAGUCGGACUUUCAAAAAGUAUACGAUCAUCUGGACUAGUCCUGGAGCGUCGGGGCUUUGA
rnacentral:rRNA from 1 species